UACGGGGGGGGCAAGCGUUGUUCGGAAUUACUGGGCGUAAAGGGCUCGUAGGUGGCCAACUAAGUCAGACGUGAAAUCCCCAGGCUCAACUUGGGAACUGCGUCUGAUACUGGAUGGCUUGAAUUCGGGAGAGGGAUGCAGAAUUCCAGGUGUAGCGGUGAAAUGCGUAGAUAUCUGGAGGAAUACCGGUGGCGAAGGCGGCUCUCUGGGACGGUACUGACGCUGAGACGCGAAAGCGUGGGGAGCGAACAGG
rnacentral:rRNA from 1 species